rnacentral:rRNA from 1 species
GAUGAACGCUGGCGGCGUGCCUAACACAUGCAAGUCGGACGGUGCCUUCGGGCACAGUGGCGCACGGGUGAGGAACACGUAGCUGACCUGCCCUGGAGCGCGGGAUGACCCUGGGAAACGAGGGCUAAGACCGCCUACGCUCACGCGCUGUAGAGGCGCGUGAGGAAAACCUACGGGUGCUCUGGGGAGGGGGCGUGCGGCCCAUCAGGUAGUUGGUGGGGUAAGAGCCACCAAGCCGACGACGGGUCGGGGGUCGU